CGCCUCAUCAAAAUAAGUAGUUCCGUAACUGAAGUCUGCCCCUUUGCAUUGCCAAUUGCUACUGUGUCAGUGCCACGGACCGCCAUAGUAUUCUCUUCUCACGCGAUAUAUAUACACACAUUUGUUCAUCUAGUAUAUAAUUUCAGCAUCUUUUGCUGUUCAGUAGCAGGGAGAGGAAUCGAAGCGAAAAGCCUAGGGUUUGGUUUCAAUUUUCACAUAGUUCUGUGUGCAAACUUUGUGAAAUACUAGGGUUUUCCCCGUGCCCUAAAUCUCGUCUUCGCAUUUCGAAAAAAUGGCUGGAAAAAACGUGAUCUCCGAUGACGAAGAUGAAGUUGGAAUUGAGGAUGAAGAGAGGGAUGAAGAGCCUGUUGAUGGAGACGGAGUAGAUGAACGGGACGAGGAGGAUGAAGACGAAGAAGAAGAU